rnacentral:rRNA from 1 species
UACAGAGGUCCCAAGCGUUGUUCGGAUUCACUGGGCGUAAAGGGUGCGUAGGUGGUCAGGUAAGUCGGAUGUGAAAUCUCGGAGCUUAACUCCGAAACUGCAUUGGAAACUACCUGGCUCGAGGAAUGGAGGGGGGACUGGAAUUCUCGGUGUAGCAGUGAAAUGCGUAGAUAUCGAGAGGAACACCAGUGGCGAAGGCGAGUCCCUGGACAAUCUCCUGACACUGAGGCACGAAAGCUAGGGGAGCAAACAGG